rnacentral:rRNA from 1 species
UGGGGAAUAUUGGACAAUGGGCGCAAGCCUGAUGCAGCCAUGCCGCGUGUAUGAAGAAGGCCUUCGGGUUGUAAAGUACUUUCAGCGGGGAGGAAGGCGAUAAGGUUAAUAACCUUGUCGAUUGACGUUACCCGCAGAAGAAGCACCGGCUAACUCCGUGCCAGCAGCCGCGGUAAUACGGAGGGUGCAAGCGUUAAUCGGAAUUACUGGGCGUAAAGCGCACGCAGGCGGUCUGUCAAGUCGGAUGUGAAAUCCCCGGGCUCAACCUGGGAACUGCAUUCGAAACUGGCAGGCUAGAGUCUUGUAGAGGGGGGUAGAAUUCCAGGUGUAGCGGUGAAAUGCGUAGAGAUCUGGAGGAAUACCGGUGGCGAAGGCGGCCCCCUGGACAAAGACUGACGCUCAGGUGCGAAAGCGUGGGGAGCAAACA